UUUUUCCUACGGGGCGCAGCAGUGGGGGAUAUUGGACAAUGGGGGAAACCCUGAUCCAGCGACGCCGCGUGAGUGAAGAAGUAUUUCGGUAUGUAAAGCUCUAUCAGCAGGGAAGAAAGAAAUGACGGUACCUGAGUAAGAAGCCCCGGCUAACUACGUGCCAGCAGCCGCGGUAAUACGUAGGGGGCAAGCGUUAUCCGGAAUUACUGGGUGUAAAGGGAGCGUAGACGGUAAUGCAAGUCUGGAGCGAAAGGCGGGGGCCCAACCCCGGGACUGCUCUUGGAACUGCAUGGCUGGAGUACAGG
rnacentral:rRNA from 1 species